UACAGAGGGUGCAAACGUUGUUCGGAAUUACUGGGCAUAAAGGGCACGUAGGUGGUUCGCUAAGUUACGUGUGAAAUCCCCCGGCUCAACCGGGGAAUUGCGCGUGAUACUGGCGGACUCGAGGCGGGUAGGGGUGAGCGGAACUCCAGGUGGAGCGGUGAAAUGCGUAGAUAUCAUUUGGAACGCCAAUGGUGAAAACAGGUAGCUGGGGCUGUGCUGACGCUGAGACACGAAAGCCAGGGGAGCAAACGGG
rnacentral:rRNA from 1 species